AUACGGAGGGUGCAAGCGUUGUUCGGAGUCACUGGGCGUAAAGGGCGCGCAGGCGGUUUGGUAAGUCAGAUGUGAAAGCCCAUGGCUCAACCAUGGAAGUGCAUUUGAAACUGUCAGACUUGAGUACUAGAGGGGAAAGUGGAAUUCCCGGUGUAGAGGUGAAAUUCGUAGAUAUCGGGAGGAAUACCGGUGGCGAAGGCGACUUUCUGGCUAGAUACUGACGCUGAGGCGCGAAAGCGUGGGGAGCAAACAGGAUUAGAUACCCUAGUAGUCC
rnacentral:rRNA from 1 species